UGUUAAUCCGCCAUGAGCGAACCUCGAAAGAACCAGGUUUCAUUGCGAGGAUCAAGUGCGAAGGAGAUUUCGAGGGAUGUGCUUUUGGAAAAAGUUUCACAAGAGAGAGCGUUGAGGAAUUUUACUCGGCGAGCUACAUCUGCUGCGCGGUUAAUCCAGAGAGCUUGGCAUCGUUAUCAUGUUAAAAAACGUAUAGCCCUUGAGUUUCAGCAGCAGUGGGAAUCGUUGAUAAAUAGUCAUCUUUCUCCUCUAAAGAAAUCGUCUAUAUCCAGCCAAGUUCUGAGGCCUUUUAUUUUCUUUACUACAUUCUUGUUGGCGCGAUAUCCAAGAAUUCAACCCAGAGAAAAAGAUUGCAUCAGGAGUUGCUUUGGAGUUAUCCUGGAGAGCAUAAACUCAACAAAUCCCAAUGAAAACUUUUGCUCAAUGGCUACUGGAACCGCG
rnacentral:misc_RNA from 1 species